rnacentral:misc_RNA from 1 species
GAUGAAGAACGCAGUGAAAUGCGAUACGUAAUGUGAAUUGCAGAAUUCAGUGAAUCAUCGAAUCUUUGAACGCACAUUGCACUCCUUGGUAUUCCGAGGAGUAUGCCUGUUUCAGUAUCAUGAGCACUCUCACACCUAACCUUUGGGUUUAUAGCGUGGAAUUGGAAUGCGCCGACUGUCAUGGUUGGCCCUUCUAAAAUGUAGUUCUUGGCUGUCACCUAAUACAGCAGUUUGGCCUAAUAGUUUUGGCAUUCAUUGUCAAAUCUUUGGCUAACAUUUGCUCCAGGAGUCAGUCUUGAUAAUACAGAAAACUCAUUCAAAUUUUGAUCUGAAAUCAGGUAGGGCUACCCGCUGAACUUAAGCAUAUCAAUAAGCGGAGGA